rnacentral:rRNA from 1 species
CAGUAGCCGCGGUAAUACGAAGGGUGCAAGCGUUACUCGGAAUUACUGGGCGUAAAGCGUGCGUAGGUGGUGGUUUAAGUCCGUUGUGAAAGCCCUGGGCUCAACCUGGGAAUUGCAGUGGAUACUGGAUCACUAGAGUGUGGUAGAGGAUAGUGGAAUUUCCGGUGUAGCAGUGAAAUGCGUAGAGAUCGGAAGGAACAUCUGUGGCGAAGGCGACUAUCUGGGCCAACACUGACACUGAGGCACGAAAGCGUGGGGAGCAAACAGGAUUAGAUACCCGAGUAGUCCCUGUCUCUUAUAC